UACGAAGGGGGCUAGCGUUGCUCGGAAUUACUGGGCGUAAAGCGCGCGUAGGCGGUAAUGCAAGUCAGGGGUGAAAUCCCGGAGCUCAACUCCGGAACUGCCUUUGAAACUGCAUUGCUGGAGUGUGUGAGGGGAUAGCGGAAUUCCUAAUGUAGAGGUGAAAUUCGUAGAUAUUAGGAGGAACACCGGUGGCGAAGGCGGCUAUCUGGCACACAACUGACGCUGAGGCGCGAAAGCGUGGGGAUCAAACAGG
rnacentral:rRNA from 1 species